rnacentral:lncRNA from 1 species
UGACAAAAACACCAUUAAAGUUUGUGGAUUUUGUAUUUAUUUACUGUACAAUUUAUGUCCAUUCACCACAUCAUCUAUUGAUGACAUCCAUCAUUGGCUUUAAUAACAUGAGUUUAUUCCAUUAUGUGUCGGCUUGUAUGUCCACUUCCUUUUUUAGGUGACCAUCACUGUGAUGAUUCCUGUGAGACGGCCAAACUCAAUGCCCCCUUUGGCUCCUCUAUGCACCUCGGCUGCAUGUUUGAAAACUUGCCCUUGAGCUCCUCCUCACGCCCACGCUCGGUGUUGUGGCUCCACAAUGCUAAGUCCAGAUUGGUCAACGUCUCGUCCACAGGAAAUAUUCAAUUCCUGGACCCCAGGGAUGGCCGGGUGAAAGCCUUUCCCAUCCAGAGCUCUCAAGGGGACUACUCCAUCCGCAUCGAUGAGCUGCAGGAGUCUGACCUGGGGUGUUAUCGCUGUGUGCAGGGUGGCCGAUGUCUCCAAGUGGAAGUUACUGAAAAAGGUGGACUGAGUGAAGAGAUGUGGCUAGUCAUUUACGCCGCUACGGCUUUAGCAAUCUUCAUCUUGAUCCUGGGUGUCUGCAGCUACUGCUGUGUGAAAAGUUCAUGUUGCUGGGAUCAAAGUACACCAGACUACGUGAACAAUGUCAGCCAUACAGUUGUCUUUCCUCCACCUGAGGAAACAAGCAGAGGCACAGGAAGUGAACAGCAGAGAGGAGCUGAAAAUAAUCUACUUAUUUAUGAAAAUGAUGAACAUGACCCGGCCCUACAUCAGAAUGUCCAAACCAGAUAUCACCAUGAUCUGAGUGGAAUCCAGCCCGAUCCAGACAGAGGCCAAUCUCCUGCCAGGAUGGAGAGUCAGAGGAAAAAACAGGGAUUUCACAGAGAGCUGUUCACCAGAUUACGGCAAGCAAGUCUAAGUCGUCAUUAUUAUGUUAACCAAGUUGAACUGACACAGCAAGCUACAUCAUCUCGAAUGGAGAAUCAUCACCGAGCGAGUUUCUGGAGGAAGAAAGCCAAGACAAAACACGAAUACAAAAACCCGAUUUACAACAACAGCACCGACCAGCUCAACAGACUGUAGAGAACCAAGGCCAAAGAAGAAGCCGCUGCUGAGGCAUUUUCAGUAAAUGGAUCCAGCUACAGAGCUAUUUAUUCAUUGUUUAUUUUACAGUUGAGAAAAGUGCUUUUAGAUCAGGUUGUGAUUGAUUCAUUGUGUCUCAGUAUUGUAAAUAACUGCACAUCGCUUGCACAAUUUUAGGCUUUUAAAUGCAUAUCCAAAAAUGUGAUUACCGUCCCUGCAGUGUUAUACAAUCCCACAGAGAUUUUCUGUAUGAAUGCACCUGUGAGAUGGAAGAGUAUUUGGACUUGAUAAAUCAAUGAUCAUGUUUUUUAUAAGCGUCAGAUUGGAUUGCUGAAUUACAUGCAAACAAGGGUUAGACACACACAACGCCCUCUCUGCAGAACCGACCAGAUCUUCUGUCUAAUAUGCUCUCCAGUGUUCAUUUUUAAUAUUGAAUGAUGC